AACGAACGCUGGCGGCAUGCCUAACACAUGCAAGUCGAACGAAGCCUUCGGGCUUAGUGGCGCACGGGUGCGUAACGCGUGAGAAUCUGCCCUUGGGUUCGGAAUAACAGUUAGAAAUGACUGCUAAUACCGAAUGAUGUCUUCGGACCAAAGAUUUAUCGCCCAAGGAUGAGCCCGCGUCGGAUUAGCUAGUUGGUGAGGUAAAGGCUCACCAAGGCGACGAUCCGUAGCUGGUCUGAGAGGAUGAUCAGCCACACUGGGACUGAGACACGGCCCAGACUCCUACGGGAGGCAGCAGUGGGGAAUAUUGGACAAUGGGCGAAAGCCUGAUCCAGCAAUGCCGCGUGAGUGAUGAAGGCCUUAGGGUUGUAAAAGCUCUUUUACCCGGGAUGAUAAUGACAGUACCGGGAGAAUAAGCCCCGGCUAAACUCCGUGCCAGCAGCCGCGGUAAU
rnacentral:rRNA from 1 species